AGGCCCAUCCACAACAAAUGCCUUUGGAGAGCCAUCGUGAAUUCUUGCUUGAAACAACAACCAAAGCUGUGGUUGCAGGCUGCUUGCUCUGGUGUGGUUGCCUUCAGCAUAUCUUCAGACACAGUGAUUUCUAACAGCUUUGCUAUUCCUGUAUCUUUCUUCUGAUCCGGUGAUUCGAGAACUACAGGAAAAGGCAAGAUGCAUCAUUGCAGGUCCUAUAAAAUCAUCUUGAUGCAUGGUGCUUUGAGGUGGAGCCUCCUGGAGUCAGAGUUCUUGCUGAGGCCAAAACCAGUCAGGGGGAAGGACAAUCAGGAAUAUUUGCUGCUCUUCCAGUGAAUCUGAGUUUGGUCAACAGUACCCACAUUUCAUGGCCUGUAACUCCAACUCCAGGGGUUCUGACACCAUCUUCUGGACUAUCUUCCCUCUGAAUUGAGAAUGCAAAGCCAAAGUAAGAAAUUCCUGAAAGGAACCAAAGUUACCCAACAACAUGGGCAAACCCAACUGGAGCUAUCAUCUCUGGCCCAUAAUAGGAACAAAAGCUGCUCAAGCAAGCUAACUCCAAAAGAAGAGAUAGGUGAUGCUGAAGUCAUCAAAAUUUUGAAAUAGGCAAGAUCAUUUGCCCUCG
rnacentral:lncRNA from 1 species